UAACUCCCUUUUUCUUAUCAUGAAAAGAAGGAAAAAAGGGAGGGGGAAACUGAGGGUGAAAGGGGGAUAGGGCUGCUGUGUCUCAGGCUACUUCCUGCUGUCUUGGGGCAUCAUCAUCAAUGUCUGGGUACAGCUGACUUUCACCAUCAGGGCCCACUUGAUUGCUGGCAGUAUUUGUGAAGAUCCCGUAAAAUUGGGGAAUUCAGAGCGCCGUUAUGAGGCCAUUUUGAACCACUAACUAAUGAAUACUGGGUCCAGACAUUAUUGCGUUGGUGUAUCAAUUUUGAUGUCCUCAGGGUCACUGAAAAUAUUUCAAUGGACAAUGAUUGUAACGGGUCGACGAGCUCCUUUCUCUCAGCACUCUAUCUAAGGCACGCCCUUUCUGCUAUGGGAAAAUAUCAGGACAGAUUUGAAGAACUUUUAAAGGAUAGAUCCCUCAAAAAAAUUGGCUCUCAGAGAUUAUCAUUGAAGUGACCGAGGAACUAGCUGUGCUCACAACUUUUGUAUGGAUUUGUCAGACUCUCAUAUUUUUCUCAUUAGAUUUAAUGAUUGCAUUUCCUCUUUAUCUCAUGCAGCUCUUUAAAUUAUUAGUUUUUUAUACUAAAUGUAAAGAGAUAUUUGAUCACAGCUUCAUUCCAAACAUUUAAUGCUUUAUGACGUCCUUGUCUUGCCUGUCAAAUGGCUUACCUAAAAGACAUUAUAUCUUUCAAAUCUAUGUUCAAAAUCGAUCAACACAAAAUGAAAAUAUUUGCUCAAAUAAUAUCCCUAGUCAUUCUCCUCUUUUUGCUUUUUGAAAUAGGCAGUAAUGUAUUCCAAGGACAAUGUAGCUGAGAAUGAUCUUGAACCUCUGCUUCACUACCUCACAGUCUGAAUGCUAGAAUUUCAUGUGUGUAGGCCCACACCCAGUACACAUAGUCUGGGGAUUGGACACAGGACUGUGUGCAUGCUAGGCAAGCCCUCUACCAAUGAUGGAAUAUCACCAGAACUUAUCUUCCUAUUUAAAUUAUGCAGAGUACACAAGGCUAGAAUUUUCAACACCAUGUUCACAAGUAAUUGCAUCUCAUCUACAGUCUCGCUCUAAUACUAUAUCAAUGUGAAGAUAUUUAACAUAUUCUCAUUUUCAUGACAUAGAGAAAAGCAUAAGUGUUUAAUGGAAAGUCAUUGUCAAUGAUUUACUUUAUGUCAAGAUGUAAUUCAUACUACUGAAGAAAAUACACUAUACUACUCAUACAAAUUAUAAAACAGUUUUAAACAAACUGUCUUUGGGGCUGUGCAUCAAACAUUUUUGAUACUCACAGUAAGGUUUUGGGUUAAUGUAACUAUGAGCAGGAAGGAAGCCACUCCCCAGCUGAGUACUUACUUCUUAGAAAGAUGACCCAAUUUGCAUAUGCUUGGCCCAGGGAGUGGCACUAUUAGAAGGUGUGGCCUGGUUGGAGGAAGUGUGUCACUGUGGGAGUGGGCUUGCAGACUGUCAUCCUAGUUGCUCCUGGCUUCCUUCUGGUGAAGAUGUAGAACUCAGCUCCUCCUGCACCAUGCCUGCCUGGAUGCUGCCAUCCAUGCUCCUGCCUUGAUGAUAAUGGACUGAGCCUCUGAACCUGUAAGCCAGCGCCAGUUAAAUGUUGUCCUUAAUAAACCUCAAAAAAAUAAAAAAAAAACAAAAAAGAAAAAAGAAAGAAAGAAAGGACAGAAGGAAGGAAGGAAGAAGGAAAGAAAGAAAGAAAGAAAGAAAGAAAGAAAGAAAGAAAGAAAGAAGGAGAGAGAGAAAGAAAAGUGGUCCAAAGCUUUUCUGCCUAGAAAAAAUACCUUAUAGAGUGAGAGGCAGGCAGUCCCUCUGUUAAUCAGAUUUCUAAAUAACUGAGAUGUGUUGAGCAUCUCCUGACUCAAGAUGGACACACACUGUAAUAAUACCCAGGAUAACUUGGACAGCACAAAAUGGUUGUGUAUAUUUUAAUAAUAGCAGAAUCUCUAACUGUUAAAAAUAGAAUGGUUGAGAUCCCGAUUUUUUUUUAACUGUUUCUUUUGUUUUGACUGCUGAUGUUUGGGCCACUGCACAUUUGCUUAAUCCUAACCCUCCUCUUGUAUAAUCCAAUUUAAAAAGAUAAAAGAAAAGAUAAGUAAAAGAAAGAAAAAUAAAGAUAAAAGAAAAAUGUAGAGAGGUAUAGAGAGACAAUGGGGCAGAUGCUCAGGAAAAGGUUUUAGCCAGGUAAGACAACACAGGAAGAGGUAUAUAUUAAAAGGUCUUCUUUUAGUUAUUAUUCUAUCUAGUAAUUUUUAAAUAUUUUAUUGGAUAAUUUUUAUUUACAUUUCAAAUGUUAUCCCUUUUCCUGGUUUCCCGUCCAUAAACACCCUAUGUUAUUCCCCCACCCCCACCCCGCUUCUAUGAGGUUGUUCCUCCCACCCACCCCUUCCUGCCUCCCCGCCCUGACAUUCUCCUACACUGGGGCAUCUAGGCUUGGCAGGACAAAGGGCUUCUCCUCCCAGUGAUUUCCAACAAGGCCAUUCUCUGCUACAUGUGCAGUUGGAGCCAUGGGUCUGUCCAUGUGUACGCUUUGGAUGAGGAUUUAGUCCCUGGGAGCUUUGGUUGGGAGUAUUGAUGUUCUUAUGGGUUACAAACCCCUUCAGCUCCUUCAAUCCUUUCUCUAACUCUUCCAAUUGGGACUCAAUUCAAUGGUUGUCUAUGAGUGUCCACCUCUGUAUUUGCCAUGCUCUGGCAGAACUUCUCAGGAGACAGUUAUAUUAGGUUCCUGUCAGCAUGCAUUUCUUGGCAUCAGCAAUAUUUCUGGGUUUGGUGGCUGUAUAUGGGCUGGAUUCUUAGGUGGGACAGUCUCUGGAUGGCCUUUCCUUCAGUCUCUGCUCCAAACUUUGUCUCUGUAUUUCUCCUGUGAGUAUUUUGUUCUCCCUUCUAAAAAGGAAUGAGGAAUCUGCACUUUGGUUGUUCUGCUUCUUGAGUGUCAUGUGGUCUGAGGAUUUCAUCCUGGGUAAUCUGAGCUUUGGGCUAAUAUCCACUUAUCAGUGCAUGUAUAUCAUGUGUGGAAUUUUGUGUUUGGGUUACUUUACUGAGGAUGGUAUUUUCUAGUUCCAUCCAUUUGCCUAUGAAAUUCAUGAAGUCAUUGUUUUUAAUAGCUGAGUAGUACUCCAUUGUGUAGAUGGACCACAUUUUCUGUAUCCAUUCUUCUGUUGAAGGGCAUCUGGGUUCUUUCCAGCUUCUGGCUAUUAUAAAUAAGGUUGCUAUGAACAUAGUGGACCAGUGUCUUUGUUAUAUGUUGGGGCAUCUUUUGGGUAUAUGCCCAAGAGAGGUAUAGCUGGGUCCUCAGGUAGUACUCUGUCCAAUUUUCUGAGGAACCUCCAGACUGAUUUUCAGAGUGGUUGUACCAGUCUGCAAUCCCACCAACAAUGGAGGAGUGUUCCUCUUCCUCCAUAUCCUCGCCAGCCUCUGUUGUCACCUUUGUUUUUGAUCUUAGUCAUUCUGACUGCUGUGACAGGGAAUCUCAGGGUUGUUUUGAUUUGCAUUUCCUUGUCUAUUUAGUAUUUUUAAUUAUGAAUGAGGAUCUGAAUAUAAAAAAAUAAAGUUGUACAUACAAAUAUAGAAGGAAUCCAAACAAUUGCUCGAUAGUCAUGACUCGCUCACUUAAUUACAUUAACCUUUUGCUGUUUUUUGAUUCGUGUUCCCAUGUAUGUUCAGUGUGUACAUGCAUAGGCAAAUUUAAUAAUGUGCUAUACAAAUUAAACUAUCAACUAAUCUUAUGAACCAAAAGGAAGUACAUUUAAGUAACCAACUGAGUUCAUAAAAUUGGAGCUGGACUUCACCAUACAUAUAAAGUAAAAACCAUUAAAAAGUAAAAUUACAUUAAACUUUAAACAGAUGCAUCUCAAAGCACUGUGAAAGAAAUGUGACAAAACAAACCUGUGUUACCUAAACUUGAAACAUGUUCUCAAAAAGCAUAACUAAUGCAGCAAGACAAAAUGGAUAUCUUUUGCUUUGAAACUCUUUGAGGUUUUAUAUUUUACUAUGCUUGGAAUACAUUUUCAAUGAAUGUACAUCACUGGGGUUUUAAAAUAUAGUUUCUAAAAGAAAAUUAUAUGACAUAAUUGAGAAGAAAAACCUGAGAACAUAAAUAUUUUCAUAUGUAUUAGGAGUUCAAAGAUAGAAAAUACCCCAAGAAUAACUGGGCUUUGCCUCUAUUACAUAAGACUUCCUUAUCUCUGCAUAGAACUCUUUGUAAGUCAAUGUUGAAAUACACUGGCAUGGCAUACCCAAUUAGAUUAAAAGCAGACAGAACACAGGCAGAACAGAUACAAAAGGCCUAAAUUAGCAGUGGUAUUAGCCCAGGAGGAGAGAAGCCAUCGUCAAUAUCAUACGUUCUCCACAGACUGGCAAGAUUAUUUCAGGCUAGUAUUUGGACACAGGACAUGUGCACUUUUGGAUGGUCCAUAUCAUCACAAGGCAGAAGCAUGUCUGGGGUUAUAGUGAUGUUGAGAUAUCUGUUUCCUUUUGAAGCACAGGUGCAGUAUGUGACUGUCCAUAGUUGGUAAGGAAGGUGUCAAGUGCUACACAAGCUGCCAUGCUGUGAGCUGCAACAGAGUAUUUCUUAGAGUAGGGCCUGCUUUCUACCAAAGACCUUGGAUAUUAAACAAGACAUGAGACAGAAAUCAGACAAUAUGGAUAGUGCCAUUGUCAUUUAGAAGUCUGUUAUCAUUAUUACUUCUCAAAAAAGAAUAAAGUAACCCAUAUGCCUCCUUAUAUGCACCCCAUCAUUACCCAUCCUUUCACUCACCCACCCCCCAAGAAAACAGAGUAGAAUUGAACUGGAGUUCAGUUUGAAUAAUUAAGGAGUUUAUUAGACUUACUUGCAAAGUAUGGGUGAGGGCUUGCCUGCAGGAGCAGCAUAGGUAACCCAAAAGCAGCCACACUAGAAAGUCUAGCCUGGUAUGGAAAAAUCACUUCCCCAUAGCCGCAUAAAGUCUUAUCAGUUAACAUUUUCAAGUCUGUAUAUUAUAGCCUCAUACCUUUAGGGACUCCUUCUCAGGCCAUGUGCAAACUGGACUGGCUUCUUAGAAUAAAUCUCUCUCUUUGGUUUGAAAAUAAUUAUCUAUUUCCUACCCCUUUGUAGCAUUUUAAAUUUUUUCCUUUUCCUGAAAGAAUAUUUACUAUAAUUGUCUAAAAUCUUAUAUUUCCUUAAUGUCUACUGUAAACUCUAUGUUUUGGGGGGCUGUUUUUGUCAACUUUAUACAGACUAGACUCAUCUGAGAGGAGAGAAUCCCAACUGAAAAAAAAAAAGCUUCUAAAAGAUUGGACUGCUCUGAAAUGCUUACAGACAGGAUGCUAGCAUAACUGUCCACCACUCAGCAGCUGACUAAAUCAGAUGACGGGGCCAACAGUUUAGACAGAGAUUAGGGAGUUUUGUGGAAGUGUUGGUGGAAGGACUGAAGAACUCAAAGGGAAUAGGAACUCCACAGGAAGAUCAACAGAGUCAACUAACCAGGACCCUUGGGGGCUUCCAGAGGCUGACCCAGCAACCGAAGAACAAACAGGAACUGGACCUAGGCCUCCUUGCAUAAAUAGCAGAUGUGCAGCUUGGUCUUCAUGUGAGUUCCCCAACAACUGGAGCAGAUGCUGCUCCUGACUCUGUUGCCUGCUUAUGCAUCCUGUUCCCCUAACUAGGUUACAUUGUCUGGCCUCAGUGGGAGAGAGUGUGACUAAUUCUGCAGAGUCUUGAUGUGCUAUGGUAGGUUUGUACCUGUGGGAGCCUCCAUCUUCGCAGAGGAGAAGGCAAGGGAUUGGGGGAGAAGGCCAUGUGAGGGACAACUGAGAUGAGAGGGGGCUGUAAUAGGGAUGUAAAGUGAAUAAACAAAGUAUUUUUAAAAAGAUUGAGUUAUAGGUAAGUCUGUAGAAAACAUUUUCUUAGCGACCGUGGAAAGGCCCAGCCUAUUGUAAAUGAGGAAACCUUUGGGCUGGUGGUCCUGGAUCCUAUAAGGAAGCAGGAUAAGAAAAUCAUGCAGAGCAAGCCAGUAAACAGCACCAACUCCAUGGCUCUGCAUCAACUCCUGUUUUCAGGUUGCUACCUUGUUUGAGUUGAAGUCCUGGAUUCUUUCAGUGAUGCACUGUGGAUGUAGAAGUGUAAGACAAAUACACCCUUUCCUCCUUAACUUGUUUUUGGUCAUGAUAUUUCAUCAUAGCACUAAUAACCCAAAGUAGAACAGUUCCUAAGUUACCUCAUUAGUACACAUUAGUACUUCAACAUAUAAAUGUAGAGAGAUAAAAAUAACUCCCAAUAGAUUAUUAUAAAUUGCAGCAAUUAUAAUAGAAAUACGACUUGAACAUUAUUAAACAAAGAAACAAAGCAAAAGUUGCAUUCCACUGGAAAAAAACAGCUUCUUCAACCAAUGAUGCUUGGAAAACUGGAUGUCUGCAUGUAGAAGAAUAGAUCCAUACAUAGUUUCCAUCUUGUACAAAACUCUGUCAAAGUGGAUCAGAUACCCUGAAGCUUAUAAAAAAGAAAGGAGAGAAUAACCUUGAAUGGUUUGCCACAGGUGAGGACUUUCUGAACAGGACACCAAUAGCACAGGCACUAAAAUCAACAAGUAAUAAAUGGGGCCUCGUGAAAAGAAAAUGCUUCUGUAAGACAAUGGAUACUCUGGUAAGCAUUGUUCUCCCCGUUCUUUACUUCUGUGGAACUCACUUUCUCUCUGUAAGAGCACAUGUGACCUUUGUCUUUCUGUACCCAUGUCUGUGUUCAUCUAAUACACUGCCUUCCACUUUCAUCUGCUACCACAAAUUACGGAAUUCCGUUCUUUUGUGACUAAACAAAAAUAUUUGCAUAUGAUAGCAUAUUUUCUUUGCCUGGGCACCUGCUUUAUGGACAUUUAUGUUUGAUUUUGUUUCUUGGCUAUUGGGAAAAGGCUGUGGUGAAUGUGUGCCUGCAGAUGUCUCUUUAAUAUACUGAUUUUAAUUUAUUUUGACCCCCACCCACAUUCAGAAGUGAUGAUACCAGAUCACAUAGCUUAAUAGGACAUUAACGGGUGUUUCCUCGAAUUUUCUUGGAGACAUAGCUAAUGUCAUUGUACAUGUAACAGGAUCAAAGUGAAGUGUUAGAUUCCAUCUAAUGGAAUGGCAGAAGCAAAACAACCAAUGGGACAAAGGGCAGGGGAACCACAUUGAAUAAAAUAUUCUGAUGAGUGUUGCUUCAAUAAAGAUCUUAAUGAAUUUCCAAAAGAAAGAAAAAAGACAAUGGACACUGUCUUUUGGAAAAAGUGUCAGACUCCAGAAUGGGAAAACAUUUUUACAAACAUCAUGUUUGAUACAGGACUAAUUUUCAAACUAGAUUAAGAACUCAAGAAACUAGACACCAAUAAACCAAUAAUCUAAUUAAACAAUGGAUUACAGAUCUAAACAGAAUUCUUAAUAGAGGCCUUUCAAAUGGCUGAGAAAUAGUUAAAGAAGUGUUCAAUGUGUACCUUAAGGAAAUAAAAUUCAAAACUACUUUGAAAUUCCAUCUAAUACCUAUCACAAUAGAUAAGAUCAAUAACAAGCUCAUUGAUGUCAAGGAUGUAAAGCAAGGGGAACACUCCUCCUUUGCUGGUGGGAAUGUGAACUCGUAUAGCCAUUAUGAAAAUCAUUAUGGAUCCUCAGAAAAUUGUGAAUAGAUCCACCUUAAGACCCAGCUAUACCAGUCUUGGGAAUAUACCCAAAGGAUGCUCUAUCAUACCACAAGCACACUUCCUCCACCAUGUUCAUUGUAGCUUUAUUCAUAGUAGCCAGAACUGGAAUCAACCCAGAUCAUUCUCUCAACAGAAAUGUGAAUAAACAAAUGUGGUACAUUUAUCCAAUGGAAUAUUACUCAGUUGUUAAAAAAAAAUCACAUCAUGAAAUUUGCAGACAAAUGAACAGAUCUAGAAUCAAUCAUCUUGAGUGAGGAAACCCAGACCCAGAAAGACAAAUAUGGUAUGCAUUUCCUUUAUUAGUGAAUAUUAACCAUUAUGUAAAUGAUAACCAAGCUACAAUCAGUAGACCCAAAGAAGUUAGGUAAAGAGGAAGGGUCAAGGAAGGACACGUGGAUCUCCCUGUUAGGGGAAAUAGAGUAGAUUUUGUGGGUUGACUAGGGGUAGUAGGAGAUGGAAAGUGGAAAAAUCAGAUUGGGAGAUGGCAUGGAGGGAGAA